rnacentral:rRNA from 1 species
UAAGGGGGGAGCGAGCGUUGUCCGGAUUUACUGGGCGUAAAGGGCGUGUAGGCGGUUAUAUAAGUCAGAUGUGAAAGCCUGGGGCUUAACCGCAGAAAUGCAUUUGAGACUGUAUAACUUGAGUGCGGGAGAGGGUAGUUGAAUUCCCAGUGUAGCGGUGAAAUGCGUAGAGAUUGGGAAGAACACCAGUAGCGAAGGCGGCUACCUGGCUCGUAACUGACGCUAAUGCGCGAAAGCGUGGGGAGCAAACAGG